CAAUAGGGAUGCAGCAUAAGGAUCACUAUCCACACCAUCUAUUCAAAUCCUCAUCCAUACUUGAAAACGAUCCUGGCCUCAAAUUUCCAAAGCCCUCUCUCCUUCCCUUUUUGCCCUAGUUUCUUGAAACUAACACUCGCCUCUCUCUUUCCCUUCAUGCACAAAGAUGGAACUUGACGACUAAGAACCUGCGAUAAAGAACAAACGAGCAGCUCUGAAGCAAUAGGGAACAAUUGGAGUGAAGAAUUUCAUGCUUUGCAAAAACCCAAUAGUUUAGGAAUUUUAUCCCUUUUGCAAGAAAAAGCUCUUCUUUUUUUAUUUUGUGAUUCUUGACACGGGUUUGGUUCGAAGUUGCUUGUUUUGUUGGAGAUAUAGGGUUUAGACUUAUAUUCAUCGAGUUUCUUUUAAUUUAGUUAAAUUAUAUUUGGAGCUUAGCCGUUUUGAUUCAACAGUAAAGAAAAGAAAGAUGCUGAAGCUAGGAACACUGGGGUUCUGGUGUCGCUGCAGUUGCAUUUAACCCUACUUAUUGAAGGGUAAUACAUGUUUCCUUAUGAUCCAUACGAGGGACCUAUUACUGGAUCUAGAGUUCAACGUUGGGAAUCCUCCUUAGAGCCUAUUGUCCUACACAUCCAAUUUUGGUUGGAAUGCAAACAGUGUGUGUGGGUUACAGAAGUCAAUAAAAUCUCUCCAGCUAAUGAUUAUUUAAUGGGUGGAUCUAUUUCGGCGGGUAGUCUACAAACAUCUUAGCCUGACAUUGAACAGUCAAAACGAGUAGUUUUUGACACGUUUGGUUCACCGAGUAAAUGAGUCAUCUGCUUCCACGGAAUUGUGCACAAUGCUAUCAAGUUUUGGUGGGAGGCUGGUGGCUAUACACAGAGUGCUGUUUCACUAAAACAAUGUGAUCGCGGUCCCAGAUGCUAAUUUUCAUUCUCUCCCUUCCACUCGGCACAAACAACAGUAUAUCCUUAGAUUAGAUAACAUGACUACUAGAAGGUACAAAUGUCAGGAGGCGAAAGCAUGUGUAAGAUUAUCACGUGAUAUGCUGGGAAAAGGAAUAAGUCAACCCCGGUAAAUAUUGGACAUAUUACACGUCGGACACUAAAUAGGGUGAUAUAGGUAUGUAUGUGUUUAUUAAAUAGCCUCUUGUUGGUCCCUUUUGCUUAAUAUAUAAAAGUUUGUUAAAAAAAUAUGUUUACUAAAUUUUAUGUCAUUUGCUGGGUGAUGUUUUAUUUGAAGUGAAAAUAAACUCUCAUUAUUUGGUUUCUUGGCAAAUUAUGAAAAGCCAAAUUCUUGGUGAUGGAAAAAAAUGGCAUAAAAAUUGUUAGUGAUAAAAUAGUAGAGCAAAAGUCCACAUACACCUGGCAAAUAUUUAAAAAAAAAAAUUAGUAAUAAAAUAGCAUAGCAAAAGACUACAUGCACCUAGAUCAAAUAUCCAAAUUAUGAACUUAACGAUUUGACUCUUUGAAGUCGUCUGCAUAAUACCAAAUGAUGGACAUACCUAUCUUUUUUAGACUUUGCUUUUUUACUCUAUUUUUACACCCGUCCAACUUUUAAAAAAAUUGCAAUUGUAACCCCUAGACUACAACUCUUACUUUUGCAAAUGCCAAUACAUUGUGUUUUACGAAAUGUCUUAGUCAUUGUGUUGUUGUGAUUUACACUUUUUUUUUGUAAUUGUCUUUUACACACUGCGUUUUACGAAAUUGUGUUUUGUCUAACUAUAUGUUUCCACCCGUCGCGCGCCGCCGCAACGCGCGACAGGCAAAAUCCUAGUUUGUUGAAAACUAAAAUCUAAGUUGGAGAUGAAGUUUUCCACAAAAGCAUUCUAAACUCUACCGAGACUAUAGCAAGAGGAAGGGUCUAGAGCUUGGACCCAAAUGAUCUAGUUGGUGGUACACAGAUUGAACCAGAAUGGUGUGAGGUAAACGCUCAAGUACCAAUAAAAAAUAUUAAAACUUGGUAAAACCAUAUGGUUUAUUUUCUACAAUUCAAGAUUGUAUUGGUGCAUCAUCCAUCGCAUGGCCCUAUCCAUUCAUCUCGGUAGUUCAUGAGGAUUGAGGACGCAUGAUGACUCAAGAUUUUAUGCUUCUUUUUUCUUUAAUUGCUUUAAUUUCUUUGUUAAAUGUUAAGAUUUUAUGUCAGAUAAUGUUAUAACUUAUUUAUGGUUAGUGUUUUUGUUAUGAA